UGAUAGGCCGGGUGUGUAAGCGCAGCGAUGCGUUGAGCUAACCGGUACUAAUGAACCGUGAGGCUUAACCUUA
rnacentral:rRNA from 1 species